rnacentral:lncRNA from 1 species
CUCUUUUCAAAUCUCUUAUCUUCCAUCUCUCUUUUUCUCAUCCCCAAAAUUUCAGUAAGAAAUGAAAGAAAGAAAGAAAAAUCUCUUUCUCUCUAUAACCCUAUCCUCUUGCUUUGCUCGUUCUUCUCUUCCAUUCAUCUCCCAUCGUCUUCUCCCAAUGCCUCUCGCCGAGCAGGCAUCGAUUUCAUCAUCUUCUCCUCCCAUUCCAAACCUAUUUCUCUCCAUGGCUCCAUCCUCCUAAAAGAAGAAA